UAUACACACAUCAACCAUUCCACCCAUCCAUGGAAGAAUAAACAAACCAUUUGUCUGCCAACCUCCCUUCCCGAGAAUCCUAUACAUUCUUUAUACAUGUGAUCAAGUGGGGAAACUGCCUACUGUGCACCACAAAAGUAUUGCCUUUUGAUGUUCGUACAGUUAGCUAACUAGUUGAAAACUGGAUAAACUGUGCGCUAAAAGUUCAUGGAAUCCUUAAGAAUAUAAAUACAGGGAUAUGUAGGUUUGUGCAUUCCACCUUUUGUGCCAUGCUCACCUCAGUCACAAAGAUUCCAUUUGUAGUAUAAUAAAAAUCUUAGUACCAGCGUUUCUGAAUUUGUUUUUUUCUCAACAGUUAUCAAUUAUCUACUAUAUGUCUGGAUGCAUUAUGGUAUCUGUACUAUAGUCUGUCAAAAGUGGUAUGGAGGACUGGUGAGAAAUCAGAAUUUAUUUUCGUUAGGGACCAAUGCGGUCAUGAAGUGAGCCACAACCAUUAUGAUGCGCAUUCAUUUUCAACUACCUUUACCAGCUUACACUUUCAUCAUGGAAUUUGAUCAUGGUUGGCAUCUUUGGGUUCCGCAGGCUCACAGCUUUCUUGCAAGGAAAACUGCACCCAGUGUUACAGCUCCACUCCAAAUGCCAUGAGCCCAUGACCAUCUGCAGGGUGGUGAUGGACAAAUUCUGCCAGUAAUACAUCACCCCCAAUGUUUGACUGCUAACAGUUGUUCAACCUCUCCACUGUUAGUCUGAUGCCAUGAUCACCGAUCACAUGCCACAGGAUACAAGUCCACACCAGAUAUACAAUAUACAAAUUAUAGCAAGCCAGUCAGGGCAAAGCACUAGGCAGUAAAAGGUAUUACAUUACACUGUUUGAUCACCCUCUCAAGUUGCCCCUACUUUGAACAGCACAUCUAAGUCAACACCAUGAUUCAUUCUUGAUACAGGCGAAACCAGAAGAGCAGAAAAAUAAGGAAA